rnacentral:rRNA from 1 species
UACGUAGGGUGCGAGCGUUAAUCGGAAUUACUGGGCGUAAAGCGUGCGCAGGCGGUUCUAUAAGACAGAUGUGAAAUCCCCGGGCUCAACCUGGGAAUGGCAUUUGUGACUGUAGAGCUAGAGUGUAGCAGAGGGGGGUGGAAUUCCACGUGUAGCAGUGAAAUGCGUAGAUAUGUGGAGGAACACCGAUGGCGAAGGCAGCCCCCUGGGUUAACACUGACGCUCAUGCACGAAAGCGUGGGGAGCAAACAGGAUUAGAUACCCCCGUAGUCC